CAAGUCUGGUGCCAGCAGCCGCGGUAAUUCCAGCUCCAAUAGCGUAUAUUAAAGUUGUUGCAGUUAAAAAGCUCGUAGUUGGAUUUCUGUUAAUAAUUUAUAUAUAAUAUUUAAUAUAUUUAUAUAAUAUUAACAUAAUUCAUAUUACUAUUUUAGUAUAUAUGAAAUUUUACUUUGAGAAAAUUAGAGUGCUUAAAGCAGGCAUAUGCCUUGAAUACUCCAGCAUGGAAUAAUAUUAAAGAUUUUUAUCUUUUUUAUUGGUUCUAAGAUAAAAAUAAUGAUUAAUAGGGACAGUUGGGGGCAUUUGUAUUUAACAGUCAGAGGUGAAAUUCUUAGAUUUGUUAAAGACAAACUAGUGCGAAAGCAUUUGCCAAGGAUGUUUUCAUUAAUCAAGAACGAAAGUUAGGGGAUCGAAGACGAUCAGAUACCGUCGUAGUCUUAACCAUAAACUAUGCCAACUAGAGAUUGGAGGUUGUUCCUUACUCCUUC
rnacentral:rRNA from 1 species